GAUGAACGCUAGCGACAGGCUUAACACAUGCAAGUCGAGGGGCAGCGAGGGCGUAGCAAUACGCCUGUCGGCGACCGGCGCACUGGUGAGUAACACGUAUGCGACCUGCCCCCUACAGGGGUAUAACCCGUAGAAAUGCGGACUAAUCCCCCAUAGUCCUGGGUGCUGCAUGGCAUUCAGGGGAAAGGUCAGCCGGUAGGGGAUGGGCAUGCGGCGCAUUAGCUAGUUGGCGGGGCAACGGCCCACCAAGGCGACGAUGCGUAGCCGACCUGAGAGGGUGACCGGCCACACUGGGACUGAGACACGGCCCAG
rnacentral:rRNA from 1 species